CUUUGUAAUUUAAAGGGACACUACAGUCACCCAGACCACUUCAGCUCAAUGAAGUGGUCUGGGUGCCAGGUCCCUCAGGUUUUAACCCUCCUUACAUGUAAACAUAGCAGUUUCAGAGAAACUCACUGAGGGUGAGGGUCCCCCAAGGAUUAUAUAGUGUCAGGAAAACGGGUUUGUUUUCCUGACACUAUAGUGAUCCUUUAAGAAAAAACACACUGAUUGCACCGAUGUAAC